rnacentral:rRNA from 1 species
AGUGAACGCUGGCGGUAGGCCUAACACAUGCAAGUCGAACGGCAGCACAGUAAGAGCUUGCUCUUACGGGUGGCGAGUGGCGGACGGAUGAGGAAUACAUCGGAAUCUACUUUUUCGUGGGGGAUAACGUAGGGAAACUUACGCUAAUACCGCAUACGACCUACGGAUGAAGGCAGGGGAUCUUCGGACCUUGCGCGAUUGAAUGAGCCGAUGUCGGAUUAGCUAGUUGGCGGGGUAAAGGCCCACCAAGGCGACGAUCCGUAGCUGGUCUGAGAGGAUGAUCAGCCACACUGGAACUGAGACACGGUCCAGACUCCUACGGGAGGCAGCAGUGGGGAAUAUUGGACAAUGGGCGCAAGCCUGAUCCAGCCAUACCGCGUGGGUGAAGAAGGCCUUCGGGUUGUAAAGCCCUUUUGUUGGGAAAGAAAAGCAGCAGGUUAAUACCCCGCUGUUCUGACGGUACCCAAAGAAUAAGCACCGGCUAACUUCGUG